rnacentral:rRNA from 1 species
GGAGCAAACGGGAGUAGAUACCCCGGUAGUCCACGCUGUGAACGAUGGGUGCUAGAUUUUGGAGGUCUCGACCCCUUCAGAGCCGCAGCUAACGCAUUAAGUACCCCGUCUGGGGAAUACGGUCGCAAGGCUGAAACUCGAAGGAAUUGACGGGGGCCCGCACAAGCGGUGGAGCAUGUGUCGUAACUUCGAAGCAACGCGAAGAACCUGACCAGGGUAUGACAUGUGAGCUUCGACCUUCGGGAAGAGGUUAAUCCAGUGAAAGCAGGACGAAUCACACAGGUAUUGCAUGGCUGUCGUCAGCUCGUGUCGUGAGAUGUUGGCUUAAGUCCCGCAACGAGCGCAACCCGUGCUGUUAGUUACCAUCGGGUCAUGCCGGGGACUCUAGCAGGACUGCCGGUGUAUAGACCGGAGGAAGGUGGGGAUGAUGUCAAGCCAUCUAUGACCCUCUACACCCUGGGCUAACCACGUGCUACAAUGGUCGGUACAAAGGGGAGCGAUACCGCGAGCUGGACCAAUCCCAAAAAGCCGGCCUCAGUACGGAUUGCAGUCUGCAACCUCGCAUGCAUGAAGCGGGAAUCGCUAGUAAUCGUGGAUCAGCACUGCCACGGUGAAUACGUUCCCGGGCCUUGUACACACCGCCCGUCACGCCAUGGAAGCUGGUAGCACUCGAAGUCGUCGACCCUUACCUCGUGAGGGACACGCCGUAAGCUGAGCCUGAUACCUGGGGUUAAGUCCUAACCAG